rnacentral:tRNA from 1 species
AGUUAAUGAACUUGAAUAAGUAUAUGUUUUGAAAACAUAAAAUAGAGAUUUAAUUCUCUAUUAACUU